AUGCGCAAGGCGGCCAUUGAGGAGAGAAGAGACAAUGCCGCUGAGAACAAAGCCAUGGCCAAGCUUCUUGCCGAAGAGAACAGGAUCAUGACAUUGAACAGUUAUGGCAUGGACGACAUCACCAAAGAAUGGCUUGAUAUGUCAAGGAGAGACAUCUUGAAGAGGAGAAUGCUAGCAGCGGCCCGUGGGUGUUUCGGUGCCGGCGAUGCUUUCACAUUCAGUGCGCCCGGCGAUGCUUUCGGUACCAGAGUUGGAAGAAGUGCCGGUGAUGGAUUCGGAGUCGGUGAUGGAAUUGAUGGCGGUGGUGCGGAGUGA
rnacentral:rRNA from 1 species